rnacentral:lncRNA from 1 species
AGAGUAAGGAGAAUGUUUGCAGAUUUCACUUGUUAAGUGGAUUUUAACCUCCCAAUAAAAGGGUUAUGAAAAACUAAAGUCAGUGACAAAUCAUGAUUAUGAUAUUCACACAUUACUUUCAAAAACCACUCUUUACCAUUAGAAUUUAGUUUGCCUUGCCUCUCAAUUUAAAAACAUAAUCGCAUUUUCUUGUGUUAGAUAUACUAGGUUGAACAUCGAAUUUGUAUUUCUUGUACUUUCCACCCCU